AACUCUGAGCGGUGGAUCACUCGGCUCGUGCGUCGAUGAAGAGCGCAGCCAACUGCGUGAAUUAGUGUGAAUUGCAGGAUAUCUUGAACAUCGACAUCUUGAACGCAUAUUGCGGCCUCAGGUCUCCCCUGUGGCCACGCCUGGCCGAGGGUCG
rfam:Macrostomum lignano uti_cns_0010732, whole genome shotgun sequence.